rnacentral:rRNA from 1 species
GCUUAACACAUGCAAGUCGAGGGGCAGCAUGGUCCUUUCUUGCUAAGGCCGAUGGCGACCGGCGCACGGGUGAGUAACACGUAUCCAACCUGCCGUCUACUCUUGGACAGCCUUCUGAAAGGAAGAUUAAUACAAGAUGGCAUCAUGAGUCCGCAUGUUCACAUGAUUAAAGGUAUUCCGGUAGACGAUGGGGAUGCGUUCCAUUAGAUAGUAGGCGGGGUAACGGCCCACCUAGUCUUCGAUGGAUAGGGGUUCUGAGAGGAAGGUCCCCCACAUUGGAACUGAGACACGGUCCAAACUCCUACGGGAGGCAGCAGUGAGGAAUAUUGGUCAAUGGGCGAGAGCCUGAACCAGCCAAGUAGCGUGAAGGAUGACUGCCCUAUGGGUUGUAAACUUCUUUUAUAAAGGAAUAAAGUCGGGUAUGGAUACCCGUUUGCAUGUACUUUAUGAAUAAGGAUCGGCUAACUCCGUGCCAGCAGCCGCGGUAAUACGGAGGAUCCGAGCGUUAUCCGGAUUUAUUGGGUUUAAAGGGAGCGUAGAUGGAUGUUUAAGUCAGUUGUGAAAGUUUGCGGCUCAACCGUAAAAUUGCAGUUGAUACUGGAUAUCUUGAGUGCAGUUGAGGCAGGCGGAAUUCGUGGUGUAGCGGUGAAAUGCUUAGAUAUCACGAAGAACUCCGAUUGCGAAGGCAGCCUGCUAAGCUGCAACUGACAUUGAGGCUCGAAAGUGUGGGUAUCAAACAGGAUUAGAUACCCUGGUAGUCCACACGGUAAACGAUGAAUACUCGCUGUUUGCGAUAUACAGCAAGCGGCCAAGCGAAAGCGUUAAGUAUUCCACCUGGGGAGUACGCCGGCAACGGUGAAACUCAAAGGAAUUGACGGGGGCCCGCACAAGCGGAGGAACAUGUGGUUUAAUUCGAUGAUACGCGAGGAACCUUACCCGGGCUUAAAUUGCAGAUGAAUUACGGUGAAAGCCGUAAGCCGCAAGGCAUCUGUGAAGGUGCUGCAUGGUUGUCGUCAGCUCGUGCCGUGAGGUGUCGGCUUAAGUGCCAUAACGAGCGCAACCCUUGUUGUCAGUUACUAACAGGUUCCGCUGAGGACUCUGACAAGACUGCCAUCGUAAGAUGUGAGGAAGGUGGGGAUGACGUCAAAUCAGCACGGCCCUUACGUCCGGGGCUACACACGUGUUACAAUGGGGGGUACAGAGGGCCGCUACCACGCGAGUGGAUGCCAAUCCCAAAAACCUCUCUCAGUUCGGACUGGAGUCUGCAACCCGACUCCACGAAGCUGGAUUCGCUAGUAAUCGCGCAUCAGCCACGGCGCGGUGAAUACGUUCCCGGGCCUUGUACACACCGCCCGUCAAGCCAUGGGAGCCGGGGGUACCUGAAGUGCGUAACCGCGAGGAGCGCCCUAGGGUAAAACUGGUGACUGGGGCUAA